UGCUCAUCCACCUCGGAAAUGUUCAGCUUGGGAAACUGCCGGGGCAUCUCGCCUGAGAGGAGCACAGAACCCAAGCUCAUGCUCUCCAGUCGAGCAUAAGAUGCUAAGACACAGAAUACUUUGAAAUGUACAUUCACCCACAUCACUGCUAGCUCAUGGCACUGAAACGAGGCAAAUAAACCUAAAACGGUCAUGAGGCACCUCAAGCAAUACUUGUGUGAGCUGUGCCAUCCUGAAGUGGAAGAGGCUUUUGUAUCCAGUAUCCUUCUAUUGAACUGCUGUCCUUUGCCCAAGUAACUGUGGAUGUCUUCAUCAGCUGCUGCUGGCAACACCCUGAAAAAAUAUCUGCCACCCAGGAAACCACAUAUUGCGCGGCAGGUGGUGCUCUUGGUCCUUCCAAACACAAGCUGCACUUCCUAAACCCCAGUCAGAUCAGAAUUGUGCCAUCCUGCACCAGCUGGCUGGUUUGAGCCCUGUCUGGUUCUGGGCAGGGUCUUUCAGCUUGGAGUGAAGUGUUUUCCACCAGUGAAGAGGAAAGGAGGGAAGAAAAGCUGGCAGCUGUACCUUGUCCAUGGAUUUGUGUCAUCCCUUACAUCUUGCAAAAUCUGGAUCAGAAAGGCCAAGGGCAGGAGACGGUUAAGUUCUCUUCCAGCUGUUAACAAACAGUCUUUAGCGUCUUUGCUCCGUGACGCUUCAGAAAUGCAGCGGUCCGGCUUCGCAGGGGGUGCUCGCAGCCAGCAGCGGAUGGACCGUGUCUCCGCUGACUUGUGGCAGUGCAAAUUCGGCGGCACCGGGGGAAAUGCCCCGGGAGAUCUGCGCCCUGGGGCAACAGGGUCCCCCGGCCAGCGAGAGACGCUCGGCAGGAAGGAAUGAGUGGUGAGAUGCUUCUCUCGCAUCUUGCCGCAAGCAAAGUGUUUCAAAAGUCAGCUAAAUCACGAAGCUGAUGACUCGGAGGAGAUGUCAGCCUCUGCCCUCCACUGAGAAGGCACAAGCGGGAACACUGCUUGAAGCUUCCUGACCAAUUUGCAUCUGGUUUAUCAGCGAGACACUGCAUCACUAUGUUCCAGCUAAGAGGUGUGAGAACGGCGUGUUUGAAACAGAAAUGUCUCUGAGACCACUUCUGACUGUCUGCUGGGUCCCUCGUCAGGGUGGCUCGUCAGGAGCAAAUCCAGUUUGCUGCAGUUCCACACCCAGCCCGGCACCCACGACUGCUCCUCGCUGGAAUGCCACCUACGUCCUCCGCGCUGGUUCUUUUCUCUGUGCUGUCAAACGGGACGUUCAUAGAAGCUUAUCAGAGUGGUUUUUGCAGGCUCUGCCAGCUACCCAAGCGCAUUAUUGUCCGCUCCUUUAUCCUCAGCAUCUCUGCGACUGCUGGCAAAGUCCACCGAGCUUUCGAGGGCCAGGGUCCAGAAGGUGCCUGCCUCCUCUGCACGUUAUAAACAGCACCACGGCAGCUCCCGGCGCGGCUCGCUGAGCGCCCCAGCGGCCACCGCCUGUGCCCGGGCCAGCA